rnacentral:rRNA from 1 species
GACGAACGCUGGCGGCGUGCUUAACACAUGCAAGUCGAACGGAAAGGCCCUGCUUUUGUGGGGUGCUCGAGUGGCGAACGGGUGAGUAACACGUGAGUAACCUGCCCUUGACUUUGGGAUAACUUCAGGAAACUGGGGCUAAUACCGGAUAGGAGCUCCUGCUGCAUGGUGGGGGUUGGAAAGUUUCGGCGGUUGGGGAUGGACUCGCGGCUUAUCAGCUUGUUGGUGGGGUAGUGGCUUACCAAGGCUUUGACGGGUAGCCGGCCUGAGAGGGUGACCGGGGACAUGGGGACUGAGGGAGGGCGCAGAGGGGUACGGGAGGCAGCGGGGGGGAAUAUGGCACAAUGGGCGGAAGCCUGAGGCAGCAGCGCCGCGGGCGGGAUGACGGCCUUCGGGUUGUAAACCGCUUUCGCCUGUGACGAAGCGUGAGUGACGGUAAUGGGUAAAGAAGCACCGGCUAACUACGUG